CUAUGGUCAAAGUUGGCUAAAAUCCCCUUGUACACUAACUUGAAACAGGCUGUGCUUGAAAUUGUUGCACUAAGCACACAAUAAACCAGGGGUUCUCAAACCUUUUAAGCAGAGGGCUGGUACACAAUCCUUCAGGCUGUUGAGGGGCCGAAUUAUCAUUUGAAAAAAAAAACGAACAAAUUCCUAUGCACACUGCACAUGUUUUAUUUGUAGGGCAAAAAAUCCCAAAAACAACAACAAUGAAAGAACAAUACAAUAUUUAAAAAUAAAAACAAUUUUAACCAACAUAAACCUAUCAGGAUUUCAAUGGGAAGUGUGGGCCUGCUUCUGAACAAUGAAAUCCUGAUAGGUUUAUGUUGGUUAAAAUUGUUCUUACUUUUAAAUAUUGUAUUAUUCUUUCAUUGUUGGUCUUUUUUUUGCACUACAAAUAAGACAUAUGCAGUGUGCAUAGGAAUUUGUCUGAAGGAUUAUGGCCUGACCCUCUGCUUAAAAUGUUUGGGGACUCCAGGCAUAGGAGUUCUCAGAGAUAAUGAUACCAUAGCUAAAUCUAAUGAAACAACUAUUUUACAGAGGCAGAAUCUAUUCAAAAUAUGUAAAAACAAUAGCCUUUAGGUUGGAAAUCCUCUGCAUACAUUUUAAUCCUAAAGAAAAGUGAAACCAGGGAUUUUAGUAACCACCAGAAACCACUGCCUUAAUCUCCCAUGCAAACAAAGCAAUGCUCAAAAUUUACAGCAAAGACUUAUGGAAUGUGAAACACCAGAUGCUCAAGCUUAAUAGCAGAUGAUCAAAAUAUUUAAAUAAGAAGUUAUUUUAUACUUGGCUCAGUCAUAAGUCAAAAUGGAGGCUGUAGUAAAGAAAUUGGGACAGUCUACACCAAUAAGAAAAAGUGGACCCCCCUCAAAUCCGGUGCUGGCUGCUUCUAUGAGGCAUGAUGACUUCCAGUUAGCAUCCUGGAUUUUCUCACUUUAACACAAUUUUGCCAUUGUUGGAACCCUGCCAGCCACUCUCCAAUCUCAUAGUCAAAAGCAGUCCAGAAUCAUACACAGCAAGCAGUUCACAAUGAAAAUCCUCAUCCUGCCCUAACUCUGUUUCCCCAAACCCUGGAAGGUCCUGCCCCUGCUCUGCAGCAGUGAGUGUCAGGCAAAUGCUCCACAUUUGCCCCUGUUUCAGAAACUGGGUGAAGACAAUCUUCCCCAUCAUCUUCAUCCUCCACAGAGGCCCUAACAGCCAUGCUUUAUGAGGUUGAGGGAAACUGG
rnacentral:lncRNA from 1 species